UCUUGGGACCUUCCGAAGGGGCAGGGCUUCCGUGGCCACCCUUCACUCCUUCACCUCCUUCCAGAAGCCGAAAGACUCCUGGGAUCAGCCAGCUCACCAGUGUGGCCAUGGCCAAAGACACAGCCAGUGUGACCAUGGUUCAGCAGACUGACAAGUGCCGGUCAGGAAGGCUGAGAAGAGGCUACUGUGAUGACAAGAAUUGCUGAGCAAGACUUGAAGAGCAGGUGGAGACCGUUACAGAAAACCACAACCAAUCAAAAUGCACAGUCCCGGAACCCAGUUCCAAUGGCUACAUCUACAAGAUAAGGAAAUAGAGACUCAGAGAAGUAACAAACCCAAGGUCACACAGCUAGGAAGCAUGCGCGCUUGGUCCAAACACACAAAGUCUGGCUUCCGGGUCAGACACUUAGAUAAGUUGCUGAAGACAGGAUGCAGGAAGGCCUGGGAUCUGGAGAGAAGGUGGUAAAGUGAUUGCUUCCAGCGAGUACCAGAUAUGAUGGGCCUCACUAGGACCACUGCAAAAAUGAAGAGGAGGUCUCCUGGCUACAAGCUCUCCAGACAACUUGCAACAGGGAGUGUCAUUUCCCCAAACAGAAUCAACACAGCACUUCACAUAAAACAGCGCUACUUAUGAAAGAAAAAAAAAAAAACCCCAAAACCCAGAGCCUUCUUGUUUUGUACAUUAAUAAAUUAAUAA